rnacentral:rRNA from 1 species
AUUGAACGCUGGCGGCAUGCUUUACACAUGCAAGUCGAACGGUAACAGGUUAAGCUGACGAGUGGCGAACGGGUGAGUAAUGCAUCGGAACGUGCCCGAUCGUGGGGGAUAACGCAGCGAAAGCUGCGCUAAUACCGCAUACGAUCUGAGGAUGAAAGCGGGGGACCGUAAGGCCUCGCGCGAUCGGAGCGGCCGAUGUCAGAUUGGGUAGUUGGUGGGGUAAAGGCCCACCAAGCCGACGAUCCGUAGCUGGUCUGAGAGGACGACCAGCCACACUGGGACUGAGACACGGCCCAGACUCCUACGGGAGGCAGCAGUGGGGAAUUUUGGACAAUGGGCGAAAGCCUGAUCCAGCAAUGCCGCGUGCAGGAAGAAGGCCUUCGGGUUGUAAACUGCUUUUGUACGGAGCGAAAAGGUCCUUUCUAAUACAAGGGGCUCAUGACGGUACCGUAAGAAUAAGCACCGGCUAACUACGUGCCAGCCGCCGCAGUAAUAC